UUACAGUGACUCCAACCAGGACUCUGACUCCAGGGACGACAAAGACACGGCAGGUUCAGAGAGGACAGGGGAGGAGUCAAGCAGGAGAAAGCUUGGGCAUCAUCGUACUAUUGGGUUAUCGCCUCUUGAGCUGGAUUACCAAGAAACAAGGCAGGCAACAAUGCUAGGGCCCCAGACCUGAAGGGACCUCAGGUGUGCUGUGUGGCAAUUUCCAUCCAUCCAUCCAUCGUCAACCGCUUAUCCUACGUACAGGGUCGCAGGGGGCUGGAACCAAUCCCAUCUGACAUUGGACAAAAGGCGGGGUACACCCUGGACAGGUCGCCACUCUGUGUGGCAAUUUGUUUGUGUCUAGGACCAGGAUAAACCCAUCUCCCCCUCCCCUACCAACUGAGAUCAACCUUCAAGACAAUAUAUUGGUGGAAGAUGCAAUGCAACCACUCUUAUCACCACUCUGUCUGUGUAUUACAGUGUACAGUAUGUGCUUCCAGGACUACAGCCAGCGUGUGAGUGUAUGUGUGUAAGCAGGUGUCUCUGGUGAAUAGAUUAGCGUCAU